CCUACGGGAGGCAGCAGUGAGGAAUAUUGGUCAAUGGACGAGAGUCUGAACCAGCCAAGUAGCGUGAAGGAAGACUGCCCUAUGGGUUGUAAACUUCUUUUAUAAAGGAAUAAAACGAGGCACGUGUGCCUUUUUGCAUGUACUGUAUGAAUAAGGAUCGGCUAACUCCGUGCCAGCAGCCGCGGUAAUACGGAGGAUCCGAGCGUUAUCCGGAUUUAUUGGGUUUAAAGGGUGCGUAGGAGGGUUGUUAAGUCAGUUGUGAAAGUUUGGGGCUCAACCGUAAAAUUGCAAUUGAUACUGGCAGUCUUGAGUACAGUUGAGGUAGGCGGAAUUCGUGGUGUAGCGGUGAAAUGCUUAGAUAUCACGAAGAACCCCGAUUGCGAAGGCAGCUUACCAAACUGUGACUGACAUUGAGGCUCGAAAGCGUGGGUAUCAAACAGGAUUAGAUACCCUUGUAGUC
rnacentral:rRNA from 1 species